rnacentral:SRP_RNA from 1 species
GGCUCGGUCCCGGGCAGCGGAGGCUUGCCGAACCGGGUCAGGCCGGGAACGGAGCAGCCCUAAGACAGGUCCUCCGGGUGCCGCGGGGCGCCGGGUCCUC